rnacentral:rRNA from 1 species
CAGCCGCCGCGGGAAUACGUAGGGUGCAAGCGUUGUCCGGAAUCAUUGGGCGUAAAGCGCGCGUAGGUGGCCAUUUAAGUCCGCUGUGAAAGUCAAAGGCUCAACCUUUGAAAGCCGGUGGAUACUGGAUGGCUAGAGUACGGAAGAGGCGAGUGGAAUUCCUGGUGUAGCGGUGGAAUGCGCAGAUAUCAGGAGGAACACCAAUAGCGAAGGCAGCUCGCUGGGACGUUACUGACACUAAGGCGCGAAAGCGUGGGGAGCGAACAGGAUUAGAUACCCGAGUAGUCCCUGUCUCUUAUAC